CGAACGCUGGCGGCACGCCUAACACAUGCAAGUCGAGCGCUACCUUCGGGUGGAGCGGCGGACGGGUUAGUAACGCGUGGGAACAUACCCUUUUCUACGGAAUAGCCUCGGGAAACUGAGAGUAAUACCGUAUACGCCCCUCGGGGGAAAGAUUUAUCGGUGAAGGAUUGGCCCGCGUAAGAUUAGAUAGUUGGUGGGGUAAUGGCCUACCAAGUCGACGAUCUUUAGCUGGUUUGAGAGGAUGAUCAGCAACACUGGGACUGAGACACGGCCCAGACUCCUACGGGAGGCAGCAGUGGGGAAUCUUAGACAAUGGGCGAAAGCCUGAUCUAGCGAUGCCGCGUGAGUGAUGAAGGUCUUAGGAUCGUAAAGCUCUUUCGCCAAGGAUGAUAAUGACAGUACUUGGUAAAGAAACCCCGGCUAACUCC
rnacentral:rRNA from 1 species